rnacentral:rRNA from 1 species
UCUGAGACAGGUGCUGCAUGGCUGUCGUCAGCUCGUGUUGUGAAAUGUUGGGUUAAGUCCCGCAACGAGCGCAACCCUUAUCCUUUGUUGCCAGCGGUUCGGCCGGGAACUCAAAGGAGACUGCCAGUGAUAAACUGGAGGAAGGUGGGGAUGACGUCAAGUCAUCAUGGCCCUUACGAGUAGGGCUACACACGUGCUACAAUGGCGCAUACAAAGAGAAGCGACCUCGCGAGAGCAAGCGGACCUCAUAAAGUAUGUCGUAGUCCGGAUUGGAGUCUGCAACUCGACUCCAUGAAGUCGGAAUCGCUAGUAAUCGUAGAUCAGAAUGCUACGGUGAAUACGUUCCCGGGCCUUGUACACACCGCCCGUCACACCAUGGGAGUGGGUUGCAAAAGAAGUAGGUAGCUUAACCUUCGGGAGGGCGCUUACCACUUUGUGAUUCAUGACUGGGGUGAAGUCGUAACAAGGUAACCGUAGGGGAAC